rnacentral:rRNA from 1 species
UACGUAGGGUGCAAGCGUUGUCCGGAAUUAUUGGGCGUAAAGAGCUCGUAGGCGGUCUGUUGCGUCGGCUGUGAAAACCCGGGGCUCAACUCCGGGCCUGCAGCCGAUACGGGCAGACUGGAGGUAUGCAGGGGAGAACGGAAUUCCUGGUGUAGCGGUGAAAUGCGCAGAUAUCAGGAGGAACACCGGUGGCGAAGGCGGUUCUCUGGGCCGAUACUGACGCUGAGGAGCGAAAGCGUGGGGAGCGAACAGG